CCUACGGGAGGCAGCAGUGAGGAAUAUUGGUCAAUGGCCGGAAGGCUGAACCAGCCAUGCCGCGUGAAGGUCAGUGCCCUUUGGGCGUUAAACUUCUUUUGUGCGGGAGCAAUAAUGGUCACGUAUGGCCAGACGAGAGUACCGUACGAAUAAGCAUCGGCUAACUUCGUGCCAGCAGCCGCGGUAAUACGGGGGAUGCAAGGGUUAACCGGGUUUAUUGGGUUUAAAGGGUGCGUUGGCUGUGGUGUAAGGCAGCGGGGAAAUGCCCCCGCUCAACGGGGUGAAGUGCCAUUGAUACUGCCUUGCUGGAAUGCAGAUGCGGUGGGAGGAAUGUGUGGUGUAGCGGUGAAAUGCAUAGAUAUCACACAGAACACCGAUUGCGAAGGCAUCUCACGAAUCCGCGAUUGACGCUGAUGCACGAAAGCGUGGGUAUCAAACAGGAUUAGAUACCCGGGUAGUC
rnacentral:rRNA from 1 species